rnacentral:tRNA from 1 species
AUUUAUAUAGUUUAAUUAAAACAUUAUAUUUUCAUUAUAAAAAUAAACACUAGUUUUAUAAAUU